CAGCCGCCGCGGGAAUACGUAGGGUGCAAGCGUUAAUCGGAAUUACUGGGCGUAAAGCGUGCGCGGGCGGUUAUAUAAAACAGAUGUGAAAUCCCCGGGCUCAACCUGGGACCUGCAUUUGUGACUGUAUAGCUAGAGUACGGUAGAGGGGGAUGGAAUUCCGCGUGUAGCAGUGAAAUGCGUAGAUAUGCGGAGGAACACCGAUGGCGAAGGCAAUCCCCUGGACCUGUACUGACGCUCAUGCACGAAAGCGUGGGGAGCAAACAGGAUUAGAUACCCCCGUAGUCCCUGUCUCUUAUAC
rnacentral:rRNA from 1 species